rnacentral:rRNA from 1 species
UACGUAGGGUGCAAGCGUUACUCGGAAUUACUGGGCGUAAAGCGUGCGCAGGCGGUAAUGUAAGACAGUUGUGAAAUCCCCGGGCUCAACCUGGGAACUGCAUCUGUGACUGCAUUGCUGGAGUACGGCAGAGGGGGAUGGAAUUCCGCGUGUAGCAGUGAAAUGCGUAGAUAUGCGGAGGAACACCGAUGGCGAAGGCAGCCUCCUGGGCCAACACUGACGCUCAUGCACGAAAGCGUGGGGAGCAAACAGG